rnacentral:lncRNA from 1 species
UCCCGUAGGAGUUCAGACGAAGUUCACUUGCAGUAGAAGUCGGGGACGAAGUCCGGCUCCCGUAGGAGUCCGGACGAAGUUUACCUGCAAUUGAAGUCGAGGGCGAAGUCCGGCUCCUGUGGGAGUCCGGACGAAGUCUGCCAGAAUUAAACUCGGGGAUGAAGUCCGACUCCCGUAGGAGUCUGUCUGUCGUGAAGAAUCUGGUCGACGCUGGUGGAGGUUUAUCCAUUGG